rnacentral:sRNA from 1 species
AGGCUAGCGGACUGCGGCUCCCGCCUGGCCGCUUUUCUCUGAGGCCCCCUACUUUCUCUGAAACCCCCAUAACUUCCCUGCUCAUUCCUUUCCUACUCCCCCGACCCAUCCUGCCUGUCAAUACCUAAAACCCGCCUCACUAGGACCCUUAAAAUUUCCAAAUAAUAGGUCCCUACUGACACAUCAACUUUUAACAUCUAAUGUCACAAAGACACCCUCACCCUACCCCAGUCCGCCCCUGGCUCGCCCUUUCUGCCUCAGGGACCCUCUCAAGCACCGUGAUUCUUAUUUAAGGAGCAUGGUUGUAAGGCCAGGGUGGUUAGGUUACUGACAAUAGUUUAAGGUUUCGCCCUUGCGACAUUCCUGCAGGAAAAGUUUUGCAUGCCUUUGUAGCUAUUUUCUGACAUUUUCUUGAAUUCACCCCCCUUUCUCCUGCCUUCUUUUAUUUUUUCUUUUUUAUUUCUUUCCGUAUAAUCUGCUUCUCAAUACAUAGGGGACGGGUACCGCUACACACACCCUUGGAACCGCAGGAUAGCGGGUGUUCAUUUUGACAUUUUAAAACCUUUACAGCAGCUAAUUUGUCUGGCGCCUUCCAUAGAAUUUCCCCUUUCUUUAUGGGAAAUGAAGUCUGGAAUGCUUAGGACGGGUUGAAACUAACCAGGCAAAGAUUUGCAAGGCAAAAGAUGCGCUCUGCUGCGGGAGAACUUCAGGGUGCCUGUAUGCUACCUCCACCGCAUCGAAAGCCUCUUCCCCUUUUUAACACCUGUGUGGUAGCCUAAUCUGAUGGUUUUGACAAGCCAUGUAGGUUGGAUGGAGAGAGAGGGAGGGAAGGAGAGAGGGAGGAAGGGAGUGAGGGAGUGAGGGAGGGAGAGAGAGAGAGAGAGAGAGAGAGAGAGAGAGAGAGAAUGCUGCAAAGUGCUACCAGCUCUGGGUGUGGUCUUCCGGAAGAGAACUCAGCGUGGAGCCUGCUGAAACAGCCUGCUGAAAUUCACAGGGAAGUGCUUAAAAGAAAACAUGUCGUUUAACAUAAAGGGCAUCGGAUUUAAAGCCCUACGUUCUGAAAGUGAUGCAUCACGGGUGUGCCGCAGGACUGUAUUGGACUUUAGGCUGCAGCAGAGGGGCAGAUGACACAUGGAUGCAUUAAAGAUGAGAAGCUUGUUUCCAUUCAGAGCAUGUUCAUCGCUGGAGCUGACAGGAACUUUGUGCUGUCUGAACAUAAAUGAUGGUGAUGGGGCCAGACCCCUAAAAGCUUGUUCCAUGGAAGUAGCCAAGGUAAUGUCUUUUCUCCCCAGAGGCCUGCUCCACGGUGCCUCACCCUCCAUCACAGUCACCAGUAGGAGUCCGAGGCUCUGCUGUAGACAGUGCUCCAGGCAGGUCACUGCUGCAGGUCAGACCUGACAAUGCUAACCCUGUUUGUUCACUUGCAUUUUCCUGACUGCAGAGAAAUACAUGCUGUUUCUGCAAUCUAGGUCGUAACUGGCUACAAAACUAGCCUUGCCGCACCUGGAUUUCUUUGCUGACCUCUACUGUGUUUAAUAAAUCAAUGGGAGGAAUGUGAGGCGUAAAACUUUCAUAGAGGAUAAGCAUUUCCACCUGCCAGAGACAGAGCCUGAGGCUAGCGCCCUCGCAGCCCUGCUGGAGCCCAGCCAGGGCAGCAGUUCACCCCCCUCACCAGCUCUUCUUGCUGCAAGAUGGCAGCAGAUGCUAUUCAGUCGCAAAGGGGCGGAUCCCGGGACUCUGAAGACACUGCAGGCCCGCUUCUGAAAAUCCUGUGUCUGUCAGGAUCUUGGCCUGUGGGACAAAGUGUCCAUGAAGCAAACGGAAGAGAAGGUGAGGAAACCAGAGAGAGCCUAAUCACAGAAGCCUGUGUGUUACAGCUUCAAUGACAGCAGUCGGCCUAUCCUGUGUGAAGGAUGGAACCCUCAGCCCCAGAGCUCUCUUCAUGGAGAUGCCACCAAUCUUCUUUGGUAGCAAACACCCUAGUAAAAACCCAGAAUACACAAAUACCCUGGGUUUGUUUUGCUGUCUCCUGUCUGCAAAUGUCUGCUGGCAUGCUUGUGUCCAGCCUUGGGAUUUCUCUCAGCCCACACAGUGCUCACCU